UACGUAGGGUGCGAGCGUUGUCCGGAAUUACUGGGCGUAAAGAGCUCGUAGGUGGUUUGUCGCGUUGUUCGUGAAAACUCACAGCUUAACUGUGGGCGUGCGGGCGAUACGGGCAGACUGGAGUACUGCAGGGGAGACUGGAAUUCCUGGUGUAGCGGUGGAAUGCGCAGAUAUCAGGAGGAACACCGGUGGCGAAGGCGGGUCUCUGGGCAGUAACUGACGCUGAGGAGCGAAAGCGUGGGGAGCGAACAGGAUUAGAACCUCGU
rnacentral:rRNA from 1 species